AACGAACGCUGGCGGCAUGCCUAACACAUGCAAGUCGAACGAGACCUUCGGGUCUAGUGGCGCACGGGUGCGUAACGCGUGGGAACCUGCCCUUAGGUUCGGAAUAACUCCCCGAAAGGGGUGCUAAUACCGGAUAAUGUCUUCGGACCAAAGAUUUAUCGCCUUUGGAUGGGCCCGCGUUGGAUUAGCUAGUUGGUAGGGUAAAAGCCUACCAAGGCGACGAUCCAUAGCUGGUCUGAGAGGAUGAUCAGCCACACUGGGACUGAGACACGGCCCAGACUGCUACGGGAGGCAGCAGUGGGGAAUAUUGGACAAUGGGCGAAAGCCUGAUUCAGCAAUGCCGCGUGAGUGAUGAAGGCCUUAGGGUUGUAAAGCUCUUUUACCCGGGAUGAUAAUGACAGUACCGGGAGAAUAAGCUCCGGCUAACUCCGUG
rnacentral:rRNA from 1 species